rnacentral:rRNA from 1 species
GACGAACGCUGGCGGCGUGCUUAACACAUGCAAGUCGAACGGUAAGGCCCUUCGGGGUACACGAGUGGCGAACGGGUGAGUAACACGUGGGUGAUCUGCCCUGCACUUCGGGAUAAGCCUGGGAAACUGGGUCUAAUACCGGAUAGGACUCCUGGCUUCAUGGUUGGGGGUGGAAAGCUUUUGCGGUGUGGGAUGGGCCCGCGGCCUAUCAGCUUGUGGGUGGGGUAAUGGCCUACCAAGGCGACGACGGGUAGGCGGCCUGAGAGGGUGACCGGUCACACUGGGACUGAGAUACGGCCCAGACCCCUACGGGAGGCAGCAGUGGGGAAUAUUGCACAAUGGGCGCAAGCCUGAUGCAGCGACGCCGCGUGAGGGAUGACGGCCUUCGGGUUGUAAACCUCUUUCAGCCAUGACGAAGCGCAAGUGACGGUAGUAGCAGAAGAAGGACCGGCCAACUACGUGCCAGCCGCCGCCGUAA